ACAGGGAUUGCCUUAGUAACGGCGAGUGAAGCGGCAAAAGCUCAAAUUUGAAAUCGGCGCCUUUUAGGUGUUCGAGUUGUAAUUUGGAGAAGCAACUUUUUGUAUCAGCUCUGGCGGAAGUCUCUUGGAACAGUGCGCCAUAGAGGGUGAGAGCCCCGUUCCACCGGAGGACUGGUACAUUGCAAAGUGCUUUCAAAGAGUCGAGUUGUUUGGGAAUGCAGCUCUAAGUGGGUGGUAAAUUCCAUCUAAAGCUAAAUAUUGGCGAGAGACCGAUAGCGAACAAGUACAGUGAUGGAAAGAUGAAAAGCACUUUGAAAAGAGAGUGAAAAAGUACGUGAAAUUGCUGAAAGGGAAGGGCUUGAAAUCAGACUUGGCUUGCUGCCAUCAUCCAUCUCUUGGGGUGGUGUACUGGUAGCUUGCUGGGCCAGCAUGGGUUUGGAGGGAGUCAUAAUGUUCAAAGAAUGUGGCUUGAUGCUUCGGUAUUCGAGUGUUAUAGCUUUGUUCGAUAGCUCCACUCCGGAUCGAGGACUGCUAAUACAGGAUGCUGGCGUAAUGGUUUUAAGCCACCCGUCUUGAAACACGGACCAAGGAGUCUAACGUCUAUGCGAGUGUUUGGGUGUAAAACCCGUACGCGUAAUGAAAGUGAACGUAGAUGAGAGCCGCAAGGUGCAUCAUCGACCGAUCCUGAUCUUCUGGGAUGGAUUUGAGUAAGAGCAUAGCUGUUGGGACCCGAAAGAUGGUGAACUAUGCCUGAAUAGGGUGAAGCCAGAGGAAACUCUGGUGGAGGCUCGUAGCGGUUCUGACGUGCAAAUCGAUCGUCAAAUUUGGGUAUAGGGGCGAAAGACUAAUCGAACCAUUAACUAUAUGUAGUGAAGCUACUAGGUGGUUAAGAGGCGCUGGUAUGUUAGCAGCGUCUAGUCCAAAUCUAUGGGCAAGAUCAUCAAAUUGCUGGAACACCCUAAAGACAACAGUACUAACUUGGGUUGGAAACAACUCGAGGGCGGUUUUAACAGCCGGGAGUGAAAAUCUGUUUGUAUGAAGUCGCUAAGACGGAAAUGGGCAAUCAGCAGCCAAGUCCUAAGUCGCGAGAUAUGGAUGCAGUUCAGAGACUAGAUGGUGAUCGGUCUUAAAUAUCUUUAAGGCUUAAGAUAUAGUCCAUCCCUACUGAAA
rnacentral:rRNA from 1 species